rnacentral:lncRNA from 1 species
UUUGAAACUGUCAACAGAUUGUGUUAGAACUGCACCUGUAUAGUAUAGUGCAUUGGAAACGUUGAUCUGAGUGCCGUUUUGUUUGGACUACCGAAUAAUUACUAGGUCGAGUUCAUCCUAGUUCUUUGGGGGGAAAAUACAGAAAAUGUGCAGCUGUUGGCUAGUGAGUCAUUCCUUGUUUCGAAUCUGCAAUCUAAAAUGAUUGGAUCUGCUGCCGGCUACAGAAUACAUAUUCCGUCACCAUUUAACCAAAAAGUAGGAUCGAAGCUUCUCUUCAUUCUCUUAAAAAAAGACGAGCCUCAACUUCUCUUAUCAGCAUCAAGAAAAAGCUGCAUGAUAGAAGGUGCACAUGCAUUUUGCAUUUCUGUAGGCGAUCCAUCACAAGCGCAUAUAUACACAGAUCACAGAAGAAGCUUGGACAAAAGAAAAAUCAAAUGAAAAGAUAUCAAGAAACAACAUAGCUUCGAUCGAUCGUUACUCAUCGACGUUUUAUUUGCAUUGAUUGAUACAAAUCAAGAUACAAAACGCAUGAGGAUGAUCAGAGACUAAUCCAUGUCCUCCCCAUGAGCUCAAACGAGAAAGAAACUAGAACAGAAAACCAGAUCCUCUCUACCUGAGGGAACAAACAGCGGGUACCAAGAAGUGAAUGGGGGAACUCCAUGCGAGGCCUCUCCUCCUACAGGCUACAGCUUGAGGAAGAAGAAGGGUGCUCGAUGCAUCUUUGCCUAUAGCUUUACGAUUGAUGCCUCUCGAUCCAAAGGUACUUAUACUACAAAUAUCCCGCUCUCCAUCGCCCCAAAGUCUUUCUGAUAGCUGGUGGAACAAUUUGGACCUGGCUUUGAAACAUGUCGUGAGGGGUUUGAAAGAUGCAUGUCUCUUGCAGUGACAGGUCAGACAGGGAGAGCGAGGGAUCGCGUACAUUGAACCUGGACGACCCUCCUUUAGCUUUUGCGUUUGGGGUACAUGGUUUCUGGCCUUUUGGGAUUUGGGAAUACGAGUCAUUGAUUCUCUGGUGUCGUCCCGUCCCAGCUUUUUCUUUGCCUUUAUGCUGCCUGCCCAUUCAGUCACGCACAAUGCAACUAGCCCACU